rnacentral:rRNA from 1 species
UACGGGGGGGGCAAGCGUUGUUCGGAAUUACUGGGCGUAAAGGGCUCGUAGGUGGCCAACUAAGUCAGACGUGAAAUCCCUCGGCUUAACCGGGGAACUGCGUCUGAUACUGGAUGGCUUGAGUUUGGGAGAGGGACGCGGAAUUCCAGGUGUAGCGGUGAAAUGCGUAGAUAUCUGGAGGAACACCGGUGGCGAAGGCGGAUCUCUGGGCCGAUACUGACGCUGAGGAGCGAAAGCGUGGGGAGCGAACAGG